CAGUCGCCGCGGGAAUACGAAGGGGGCUAGCGUUGUUCGGAAUUACUGGGCGUAAAGCGCGUGUAGGCGGGUCCUUAAGUCAGGGGUGAAAUGCCAAGGCUCAACCUUGGAACUGCCUUUGAUACUGGGGAUCUUGAGUCCGGGAGAGGUGAGUGGAACUGCGAGUGUAGAGGUGAAAUUCGUAGAUAUUCGCAAGAACACCAGUGGCGAAGGCGGCUCACUGGCCCGGAACUGACGCUGAGGCGCGAAAGCGUGGGGAGCAAACAGGAUUGGAUACCCGCGUAGUCCCUGUCUCUUAUAA
rnacentral:rRNA from 1 species